rnacentral:rRNA from 1 species
AGCUCCAAUAGCGUAUAUUAAUGUUGUUGCAGUUAAAACGCUCGUAGUUGUUGUCCAUCUGCGCAUCGCCCUUCGAUUGAUCGGCGGUUGGGCAGUUUAGCGGACUCUUAUGUCCGCCAGUACCUUGAGGAAAGAUUAGUGUUCCAAGCAGUUCUGGUUUGUCCUCCCCAGCAUGGUAUACAACCUGUGUCGAAGAAGAUCAUGGCCCAGUCUUCAUCAUACUAAAUAGAAAUUCAAGGGGGUGUACGUAUUUUAAUGUCAGAGGUGAAAUUCCUGGAUUAUUAAAAGACGAGCAAUUGCGAAAGCAUUGACCAAGCGACUUUUCUU